AAGUAGGAUGAUCUAGAAGUUUCUCCUUACCUUGUGGAAAUUACUUCUUAUGUAUUGAGUUUUUUCUACCUUCUUGACACAGAAAGUGAACAAAAACUCAUGCUGCCUUUUUAAAAAGAAGGCCUAUGCCCCCGGCCACAAUAGCAGGGAAAUCCUAUCUAGCACACUGGUGUGCAGAGGCACCCCAGGGUCCCAAAACUUGAGCUUGAACUUUCCACAGGCAGCGAACUUUAUAACACGUGCAUGGAACAAUAAAGGAGGAGCUCGAAAGGAAGAAGGGAGGG
rnacentral:lncRNA from 1 species